AGCUCACAAAGAUCUCCUGGCCAUCAGGCGGACACUUGAACUCCAGGCUCUGAACGGUGGCCGCUGUGGUCCAUGUGAUCUGGAAGCUGUCUGUCGUUAUCCACCACGAAGAUGUCCAUCUCUGAAGCCUCGGCGAUGACCUGGCAGACUUUCGAGCUCCCUGAACUGAAAGAACACAACUGGCUUCCACAGAGGCAAGACCCCAAGACACUCAGCGACAGGCCGGGUGCCCCUUACCCUGCCAUGAUGGCUCCAAUGUUGGCAAUCACCCACUCCGUGGAGUUGAAGCCCAUGAUACCCACGCCAUGGAAGCGUUCCAGGCCCACCUGAGGGAGGAGACACCUUUGAGAGACUCAGCUAUCCUCACCGUGACUUAACAGGAAUCUGUAGCUGAGAAUCUCAGUGUCCUUCUCUGGACCAUUUGUCCACCAGCUCCAGGUACCACAGAGUAGUGAUGCUAAGCAGGGCAUCUCCACCACACUCUUCUGUUACCCAUCCAUCCACCUGCCUGUCAUCCAUCACAUGCUGUCAAUUCACCAUCCAC